AGAGUUUGAUCCUGGCUCAGGAUGAACGCUGGCGGCGUGCUUAACACAUGCAAGUCGAACGAUGAUCCGGUGCUUGCAUCGGGGAUUAGUGGCGAACGGGUGAGUAACACGUGAGUAACCUGCCCUUAACUCUGGGAUAAGCCUGGGAAACUGGGUCUAAUACCGGAUAUGACUCCUCAUCGCAUGGUGGGGGGUGGAAAGCUUUUUUGUGGUUUUGGAUGGACUCGCGGCCUAUCAGCUUGUUGGUGAGGUAAUGGCUCACCAAGGCGACGACGGGUAGCCGGCCUGAGAGGGUGACCGGCCACACUGGGACUGAGACACGGCCCAGACUCCUACGGGAGGCAGCAGUGGGGAAUAUUGCACAAUGGGCGCAAGCCUGAUGCAGCGACGCCGCGUGAGGGAUGACGGCCUUCGGGUUGUAAACCUCUUUCAGUAGGGAAGAAGCGAAAGUGACGGUACCUGCAGAAGAAGCGCCGGCUAACUACGUGCCAGCAGCCGCGGUAAUACGUAGGGCGCAAGCGUUAUCCGGAAUUAUUGGGCGUAAAGAGCUCGUAGGGCGGUUUGUCGCGUCUGCCCGUGAAAGUCCGGGGCUCAACUCCGGAUCUGCGGUGGGUACGGGCAGACUAGAGUGAUGUAGGGGAGACUGGAAUUCCUGGUGUAGCGGUGAAAUGCGCAGAUAUCAGGAGGAACACCGAUGGCGAAGGCAGGUCUCUGGGCAUUAACUGACGCUGAGGAGCGAAAGCAUGGGGAGCGAACAGGAUUAGAUACCCUGGUAGUCCAUGCCGUAAACGUUGGGCACU
rnacentral:rRNA from 1 species